rnacentral:misc_RNA from 1 species
AAGUCGUAACAAGGUUUCCGUAGGUGAACCUGCGGGAGGAUCAUUAAUACGUAUCCAACGUUAAACCCCCCUGUGAACUUUUACACUUUUCUUCGAAGCGCGCCGGAAUUACACUCCCUGGUAAAUCAUUGUUGAACAGAUUUCGAUUCAGGGACCUCAGUUUUGGAGUAGCCUAGCCUACUAGAUAUCUGAAGUGCCAUUGAUUGUGUAAAACGCUUUUCGGUCACUGGCCGGCGAAACUGCUGGGCAACAAACGAACAACUGUUAACAAUGGAUAUCUUGGUUCUC